rnacentral:rRNA from 1 species
AGUGAACGCUGGCGGUAGGCCUAACACAUGCAAGUCGAACGGCAGCACAGUCAGAGCUUGCUCUUCCGGGUGGCGAGUGGCGGACGGGUGAGGAAUACAUCGGCAUCUACUUUUUCGUGGGGGAUACGUAGGGAAACUUACGCUAAUACCGCCUACGGCCUACAGGUGAAAGCAGGGGAUCUUCGGACCUUGCGCGAUUGAAUGAGCCGAUGUCGGAUUAGCUAGUUGGCGGGGUAAAGGCCCACCAAGGCGACGAUCCGUAGCUGGUCUGAGAGGAUGAUCAGCCACACUGGAACUGAGACACGGUCCAGACUCCUACGGGAGGCAGCAGUGGGGAAUAUUGGACAAUGGGCGCAAGCCUGAUCCAGCCAUACCGCGUGAGUGAAGAAGGCCUUCGGGUUGUAAAGCCCUUUUGUUAGGAAAGAAAAGCAGCAGGUUAAUACCCCGCUGUUCUGACGGUACCCAAAGAAGAAGCACCGGCUAACUUCGUG